UACGUAGGGUGCAAGCGUUAAUCGGAAUUACUGGGCGUAAAGCGUGCGCAGGCGGUUUUGUAAGUCUGUCGUGAAAGCCCCGGGCUCAACCUGGGAAUUGCGAUGGAGACUGCUAGGCUUGAAUCUGGCAGAGGGGGGUAGAAUUCCACGUGUAGCAGUGAAAUGCGUAGAGAUGUGGAGGAACACCGAUGGCGAAGGCAGCCCCCUGGGUCAAGAUUGACGCUCAUGCACGAAAGCGUGGGGAGCAAACAGG
rnacentral:rRNA from 1 species